rnacentral:antisense_RNA from 1 species
CCCUGUCGGAUUUUACCUCCCCCCGGGGGAGCUCAGCCCUGGAUCCCGGCGGGCGGCGGAGCCUCUCUGGAGCCCGGACGGGACAGCCCACCAGGGUCUGCUUCUGUGAGGGGCCGAGGCGUCAUUCCGCGAAGCCUUCUCCUUGCUGUCGCCAUGUGAAGAAGGAUGUGUUUGCUUCCCCUUCUGCCAUGAUUGUAAGUUUCCUGAAGCCUCUCCAGCCAUGCCAAACU